GUACUGAUGAAGAGUCCCAAACUAGGACGAAAUAGCCGUCCAGUAU
rfam:Trichobilharzia regenti genome assembly, scaffold: TRE_scaffold0001989